AUUGAACGCUGGCGGCAGGCCUAAUACAUGCAAGUCGAACGAGUGGCGGACGGGUGAGUAAUGUCGGGGAAACUGCCUGAUGGAGGGGGAUCACUACUGGAAACGGUAGCUAAUACCGCAUACCAUCAGAUGUGCCCAGAUGGGAUUAGCUUGUUGGGGGGGUAACGGCUCACCAAGGCGACGAUCCCUAGCUGGUCUGGGAGGAUGACCAGCCACACGGGAACUGAGACACGGUCCAGACUCCUAGGGGAGGCAGCAGUGGGGAAUAUUGCACAAUGGGCGCAAGCCUGAUGCAGACAUGCCGGGUGUAUGAAGAAGGCCUUCGGGUUGAAAAGUACUUUCAGCGGGGAGGCGUUACCCGCAGAAGAAGCACCGGCUAACUCCGUGCCAGCAGCCGCGGUAAUUC
rnacentral:rRNA from 1 species